rnacentral:rRNA from 1 species
GAGGCAGGCGACCACGGUGGGCUUAGCGACUGGGGUGAAGUCGUAACAAGGUAGCCGUAGGGGAACCUGCGGCUGGAUCACCUCCUUUCUAAGG